rnacentral:rRNA from 1 species
AGCCAGACUCCUACGGGAGGCAGCAGUGAGGAAUAUUGGUCAAUGGCCGAGAGGCUGAACCAGCCAAGUCGCGUGAGGGAAGACGGCCCUACGGGUUGUAAACCUCUUUUGUCGGGGAGCAAAGAGAGUCACGUGUGACUCAUUGAGAGUACCCGAAGAAAAAGCAUCGGCUAACUCCGUGCCAGCAGCCGCGGUAAUACGGAGGAUGCGAGCGUUAUCCGGAUUUAUUGGGUUUAAGGGGUGCGUAGGCGGGCUGUUAAGUCAGGGGUAAAAUGUGGGGCCUCACCCCCGGCCUGCCGUUGAAACUGGCGGCCUCGAGUGGGCGAGAAGUAUGCGGAAUGCGUGGUGUAGCGGUGAAAUGCAUAGAUAUCACGCAGAACUCCGAUUGCGAAGGCAGCAUACCGGCGCUCAACUGACGCUCAUGCACGAAAUCGUGGGUAUCGAACAGGAU